rnacentral:lncRNA from 1 species
ACCUACCUUGUUAUGAACACCACUGUCCGGUCUUAAUAGAGAUGUCAGAUAAAGAAUUUAAUUAAUCACUGACACGCUCACCAAACAGGAUGUUAUCUUUGUUUCUUGUUUCAUGACAAGAUGUGCUGCCACUCCAACAGGGAGGUGCAAAGCCCAAUGGGAUAUCUAAAAAUACGAGAGGACUGAAACAUGUCACGGCUCUGCUGGGAGGUGCCAGGUUGCCUGGGAGCUCUGGGGCUGCAGCAUGCUGUUCCUGUGUGCUGCAGCUACCGUGGAUACAGCAGACACAGCAGGGAAAUAUAUCACAGUCACCCACUUGGCUGCCGGCCAGAAAUAAUGGUAAGUUGUUUAAGAGAAGAAAAAAAAAGCUCUUUUCAUCAACUUUUCUGCAUUAGAAGAAUAACCAAAAUCCUACUGGGGGGGGUUCAAUAAAAAGCUCCUCGUCUUACCUGCUCCCAUGGAGUGUUGCAAGAAAAGCCCCCGUGCUGCUUUGUCCCAGCAAUGAGUCAUCAUGAUGGCACACAUUCCGCAGAACAAUGACGAGACAGCUUCUCUGGACAUUCAACAUGGGCAAAAGUUUUUUUUCCCCCAGGUAUUAAAAUACAGGUUUUACUCCAAAUAUUGUUCAAUCCAGAUUAUUUUGCGAAUCUAAUAAUUUGUAAAAACACGUUAAGUGUUCUCGGUGUAGGGAAAACAAACAACAAACAAACAUUAUUAGGUUUUAAUCCUUUGUUAAAUAUAGCUGC